rnacentral:rRNA from 1 species
GACGAACGCUGGCGGCGUGCCUAAUACAUGCAAGUCGAACGCUUCUUUUUCCACCGGAGCUUGCUCCACCGGAAAAAGAGGAGUGGCGAACGGGUGAGUAACACGUGGGUAACCUGCCCAUCAGAAGGGGAUAACACUUGGAAACAGGUGCUAAUACCGUAUAACAAUCGAAACCGCAUGGUUUUGAUUUGAAAGGCGCUUUCGGGUGUCGCUGAUGGAUGGACCCGCGGUGCAUUAGCUAGUUGGUGAGGUAACGGCUCACCAAGGCGACGAUGCAUAGCCGACCUGAGAGGGUGAUCGGCCACAUUGGGACUGAGACACGGGCCCAAACUCCUACGGGAGGCAGCAGUAGGGAAUCUUCGGGCAAUGGACGAAGGUCUGACCGAGCAACGCCGCGUGAAGGAAGAAGUAUCUCGGGUAUGUAAACUUCUAUCAGCAGGGAAGAAAUGACGGUACCUG